CAGUAGAAUAGAAGAUUAAAAUUCCUUUUGAUCUAUAUCAUGCAUGCAUAAAACAUAAACCACAAGAUCUACUUUAAAUGUUGAAAUUGAACAUGUGAUCGAAUCACAUACCUAUUUCAUAAUUUCUUUCUUAAAAUUUGGAUCUAUAAGAGAAGAGUCUCUUUCUUAGCUGCGUAAGUAUCUGGUCUCUACGGGUAUCCACUCA
rnacentral:lncRNA from 1 species